rnacentral:lncRNA from 1 species
AAAUUGCAAAGGGUAGUAAACAAACAAACAUUUAAUUAAAGUUAACUUGAUAUGACAAGCCAUUAUUAUAUGACUUUAACACAACCCAUGAGACAUGAAAAACUUGACCAACGCUAAUAGAAAAGACCAAACAUUAUUUGGACAAAAUAAUUCAAGACACAUGCAUUGACAUGUAAACACCGACAGCAACUUCACUUGGCAUUGUCUUCACUCUUCC